rnacentral:lncRNA from 1 species
UAAUCUGUUGGGAAACUGUCUUUCCCUGGUGCUGGCUCAGACCAGUUAUUAUUUUAGAGAGGCAGUGGGACAACUGCUGGACCAUCACCUGACAUUCCUGGUGGGGUGUGGGGGCCUUCUCCUGCCCUGUUCAUGUCUGACUACUACCCUCUGUAACAUUACCUGGCAUAGAUUCCAGCUAAAUAUGAGUUCCUUUCUGGUAACGACCAAAAUGAGUGAUUGAGGCACUAAGAAGAAGAGGGCAGGAAUCGCCAUGUUUGGGUGGACCCAGUUUCUAAUGGCCUGCAAUUGCAUAUCAAAGGUUGCCGGCCUGGCUCUAAGAGCCUGUGCUUUCCUGCUAGACAAGAAACAUUUAUGCAGCUGCUUUAAAAGAAAGAAACAAAAACUUCCCAAGGACCCCUUUUCCUCUCUAUCUGCCUAAAAUAAUUUCUUAAUAACUCCUAUAACAUUCCCCCCUGUGGAGAUGUCACCCUAACUGCUGUUAGGAGGUUUUGGCUGAUGACUCUUUCUGGCUGCUUCCUGCUGAAAAGGGGCGUUGAAUGGGGAACAGCAGCGAGGGCUCCUUGUGGGGUCAACCUAAAGGUCCUCAGAAGAAAGGCCUGUCCAUGAGUGGCUCAGUUUGCGGGACCAUUUGGAGUUUGAUCGCUUCUAGCUCUUUCCCUUCAAACUUCUUUAACAUGUCUUGGCUUAGUUGUUCUGCUUGAUUUUCCAAAAGAAGAAGCUUCUCUGGAUAAGGUGGAGGAUAGUUAAGGGAGGUUUUAGUAAGUGCCGUUUUUAUAAACCUCUGCACCAACGCAGACAAAACUCCUCAGACACUGGAUUAAAGAAGGAAGAGGUUUACUUGGCUGAGAGCAUCGGCAGACUUGCAUCUUAAGAGCUGAGCUCCCUGCAAACUGAAUUCUUGGCCUUUUUAAAGGCUUACAACUCUAAAGGGGUCCACAUGAAAAGGUCGUGAUAAAUCCAGCAAGCGUGGGGAACGUGACUGGAGGCUACAUGCAUCAGCUAACAGAACAGAAAGUUUUGCAAUGCUUUUUCAUACAAUGUCUGGAAUUUACAGAUAACACAAGUAGUUUAGGUCUGGGGUUGAUGUUAUUAUUAUUACCUUUUUAACUCCUAGGGCCAGGUGGUGGUGCCAAGGUUGUCUGGCUAUUUAUCUUACUUUUGCUUCUUUCCAGCUUUUUGCUUUCUCUCUUUCCUCCUGUCUUGUGAACUAGGCAAGGUGGUGGGAGGAGGGCAGCAGGAGUUGUAGCGGUCUCCUUCCUUAGUGUGACACAACACCCGACAAGAAUAAGCACACCUAUGAUGGCUGCGAUGGAAGUAAGAAUUGGGGCUACUAUUCUUUUCCAUUUACUGAACCACUUUUCCAGCCAUCCUGUAAAGGGGUCAUUUACCCCCGAGUUAUUGGCUAACUCAGGAUAGAGCAGUCAGACCUUGCAAUGCCUUUGUUAUACUUCCAUUAGGGGCGGUGUUGUUUGGGAUGAAGUUACAACAUUGAUUUUUAAUUAUGAUGCAAAUUCUUCCUUUUUCUGCUAAUAUCAUGUCUAAGGCUAUCCUAUUUUUCCCAAGCCAUCUGGCUAGUAGCCCCUAAUUGCUCAGCUAUUCCUUUAACAGCAUCUCUAGUGUAGUUAAUGGAUGGCUGUUGGUUGUAAUAGAUGUAGUUUAUCCAAUUUACAUUUUAUUGUCACCCACCAAAAUAUUGACUCAAAUCCUGCAGCUAUUUGAUUUCAGGCUUUAAAUUGAUCUGGUAUUCCCUGUGGGACUGUAAUUAUGUCUAAAUAGAUGUGAGAGUCAAAAGACCCAUAAGGGGCUUCUUUUGCUUUAUGAUAUCUUAUUUUUCCUUUCUCUGGUUGAUGAAAUGCCAGCGUGAAAGGGAUAGCCAACUGGACUAAAGCAAGUGCCACUUCAGUUACUCGGCAGAGUGUCCAGUAAAGGUCCAUCAUAAUACCACUACACAUCUGCUCAGGGAUGAGUAAGGGCUAAUUGGUAAGCUCUUGAAAUUUCUUAAUCUCACUGCAUCCCUUCAGGACUCCAAGGAACGCUAAGUUUCCUCCCGGUCCUGAGAGACACGAAGUGAACUUAGUGUUGGGAGAUGGAAGCUGGAUGGCCCUUGGGGGCUGACCCGCAGGGUGUUGAACUUCGGGAUGUAGCAGAGAGAGAGCUUGGCACGACUUGUUACCCCAGGCUGAAUAAUCCUGGGAAAGAUCUGCCAUGCAGGCCAUGCCCAGUCAACUAGAGGGCCACCCUAGUGGAAAGGGGACAAUCUGGGCUUCUGGCCUGUCAUGUGCACAAGCAUAAAAAUUGCCUUUGUUUAACGUGUGGACAGAAUAUUUAAUCAAUUUUAACCAGGCAUUUACAUUUUUAUACCCUGUUUUAAUGGCUAUGGUUUGCCUUAGGUCUCCUAUUUCUACUACCGGGACCUUGCUUUUGUCAUUUGGCAUGAGGUGAGUCAUAGUUUGAUUUUGUAGGUUUGGGAAAGGGGCAGCCAUAGGAGGUGGAGGAGGGAGAACAAAGCCCACCUUAAAGAAGCCCAUAGGAUCCUUUCCAGUGACCUCUGCUCCUAAACCACAGAAGCGUUCUAAAGUGGGGUUAGAGUUGCUAGUGGUAGGAAUAGUAAUGGAUA